UGGAGAAACUAUUUGAAUAAUAAUGUGCAGAAUGACCUGAAAGGCUGACUGAGAAAGAGAGAGAGAAAAAAAAAAGCUAAAGAAAACCGGAUGUGAGUCUGUGAGUCCCUGGACAGCAAAGAAAAAGGAUAAAGAGAAUGAAGAAUGAUUCGGUUUUAGGUUUCAGGAAAUUCAGGAGAAUCCGAAGAAGAAACCGAGGCAUACAUUACCAACACUGCAUAACUCAGAGUUCACAAAUGGCAAAGUGGGAUGGCUCUUGAGAGCUAUGUCAUCCAGGAAUUCUCAAUGAUUUCUUGCAGUCCACAAUAAAUAUUGGAACAUGGUGUUACCUUAGCUCUUCUGUUAAUAAACCCUGCAAUGUAACUUUUUCCAUAUUUUAAAUAUUUCUA